rnacentral:lncRNA from 1 species
UAACAUAAAAUUGAGAAUGGAAAUGGGGAAUGUGCCAAAGAGACAACAACCCGACCAUAGAAAAAAAAAAACAAAAAACAAAACAACACAACAGCAGAAGGUCACCAACAGGUCUUCAAUGUAGCGAGAAAUUCCAGCACCCGGAGGCGUCCUUCAACUGGCCCCUAAACAAAUAUAUACUAGUUCAGUGAUAAUGAACGCCAUACUAAUUUCCAAAUUGUACACAA